AAAACAAAUGAUUGACUGACGAUCCCAAUGCAACAGUAAGGGACAAAAUGUGACUUGUACGACGAUGUUUUCGUUGAACUCACCCGCGACUAGAUCGUCGAGGACACCGGCAACACGACAUGUAGCUACUAGUCAUGCUUUAGGGGCAUGGCUGGGGUGGGGCCAUGGGGCAAUAGUCUACUCACUAAUAUAGCAGGUUAGCGUGUCGCGAGCCGGCCCUGGGCAUUAGGUCCAGUAGGCCUGUAUCUGGGGCCCAAAAAAAUAGUUCAUUUGGGGCCCCGGGUCCAAUAUGUUAUAGUAUAGAUAUGACUUUUUGUGUACUGAAUUAUAUAUAUUUUGAUACACGAAAUAAUAGUCUUGUAUUGUAUUUUAAGUUCUCAAUUUUGUUUGAAACUACCCAGAGAUGUUGAUAUUUGUGUGUAAUAUAUAAUUCGUUUCAUCGGAAAAACAAUGUGAAUGGGCCUCAAAUUGAGAUUUAGAAUUGGGUCCUCGAGAAACUCAGGGCCGGCACUGGCGUUUCCCAACAUCGCGCCGAGCUGGCAGUAUGUCUAGUGACAUGACGGUAACGCUCCAGGUACGUACUAAACGAUGCUAUAUUAGAAGACUACCUUAUCUUUCAAAUGUAUGCAAUUUAUUGUACUCUAAUCCUAAAAACUCCUUUACAUACCCUUAUUUUAUCCCAUUCAUCUUGACCGUCGGAGAGCCGUCGCUGGGAUACUUCUGACGAUAUUUUCUCACCUUUUUAAUGUUACAGUUCCGCCCUGUUUACUAAUGUCAGGCAACCGUAAAUUUACUGAUGUCUACCUCAUGUAUCUAUUUUUGAUUUUCUCAAUUCCAUUUUUAGCACUCACAUCCCCACAAAAUAUUUUUUUCUACUUUGGAUAAAAACGGUAAAGUGGUCAAAAAAAUCACUUUUAUUUUGAGAGUAGCUAAAAGGAUGAUAUAUUUUAGCUUAAUAAUCCUUUCAAUAAACUCACGCCACACACCAAAAGAACUAGAAACUUGGUAAAAAUUCACAAAAAAACUUAAUCUAAGUCGAAGGGGUAUGCUAUGGGUACAACUAUGUGCACCAUAAAUGCACACUUAAUGCGCUGUUUGCAUUUGGGAUUGGCUGGAUAGUUGGGUUCACCCAUUCUUUCAUCUCACACCCAAUCAAUCCACUAUACAUCUCUUAGGUGUGCAUUUGGGGUGGCACUAUAAUUUUUACCCAUAGCAUUACCUACGUCAACAGUCCACCCAACCUUUACCCCACACCCAGUUAUCUAAAUAUACAUUUCAUUAGGUGUGCAUUUGGGGUGCACUAUAAGGUACCCAUAGCAUUACCAAGCAAAGUAUGCCCAGCUUUAUACAUCAUGGUCGAGCCUUUAUUUUUAUCAUUUUUUUUUUAGUACUAUUCUGAUUAUAUAGACUUUUACCCAACACCACUCUCUCUCCUAUCAUCUACUCGGGGGUAGGAAAUACCCGCCUGGCCGUUACAACCCAUCUGUCGUGCUAUGAAGUCCUCUGCUGUACUAAUAUUUUAAUAUUUAAGACGACAUCAAUAAUCGAGAUUUAUUAUGUGGGUCCAUGCUUCAUGUGAAACCCAAUCAGCAGCCUAUGGCUAUUUGAGGAAGGGGCUUUAGACCUCUUGGAUCCUUGAAGUAUAGCAUUGUGGAAGUAGUUUUAAAUGGUAUAUAAUAAUAUUGUUUGUAUAUUGUAAUUAAAAUAAUGUCCUUUUUAAUUAAUAAUAAAUGACGUUAUUUUGGUCCUCAUAUAUAUAAACGUAUCGUUUUGUACACUUUAAUGAAUACCUUCACUAAAUACUACUCCUAGGAUCCUGAACUAGGGUGUCUUUCUUCUGGCACUCAAACAAGACAUAAGUUCAUUCGGGGACCUUCUAAAUGCCACAUGUAAAACGUUUUUUUUACAGGAAACCCAACCUUUUUAAUUACAACCACUUACAAAGUUCCACACACUUCGAGAUUUCAUUCUUCCUUUUUCAUUAAUCUUUUAUAACCGUUGUCUCUCUGCUUCCGCUAAUGGCAACAAUUGGAAGGAGGGGUUGGGGGACGUAACAGUUCGAAUGGGCGAGAGAAGAAUGGCAGAAUCAUGUUCUAACAUAGGAGGAUCGAAGGAGGGGGGGGGGACCGUUUUAUGAGAUUUCAAAUGCUGUAGCGAGAACGGAAGAAUUAGGUUGUAACAAAGGGAGGAUCACUAUUAUGGAGACGAGACGUAGAAUUGAGAAUGGGUUGAGAAUACAUUUGUUUGAAAAUUACAAUUUUAUUUUCUGACUAUUUUUCCAACAAUUAAUGUUUUUAUAACAUCGUGCUAUUCGGCCAAAUUUUUUAAUUGUAACUACUUAUUGUCCUGGCUCACAUGUAUUACUUAAAAAUAAAAAAUACACAUUUUAUGCGUACCGUUAAAAAUUUUAACAAUUUAAAAAAUAAUAAGAUUAAACGUAAUAUAAAGAUACAUUGCAGGCAUAUACAAAGCAAUAUUUUCUGGCAAAAUAAAAAUAAUAGAAGUUAAUGAUUUUAAAAAAAUUUUGCUAGCGUGAGAGAAAUGAGGAAAAAAAAAGGUUGUUUGUAAUUUUAUUUUUGUGGGUCCUAUCUAAAAAAUGAUCCAAUAAUAAAAAAUAAUAUCUAACUUUGAGAUUUUUUGUCCAUUAAAUAAAAAUCGCUUGAAUCCCACACAUUUGAGAAGAAGACAAAUAAUAUUAAACAAAAAAUAAUUUCAAGCAAAAUUUCCGCCGUGGUAACUUAAAUAAUUUCAAUCGUAGAUAUGAAAGAUAUUUUUGUAAUUUAAAAUGAUUUGUGAUUUAUAAUAUAGUAGUGAUAUUUUUGUCCGAUUUUAAUCAAAUAAAAUAUUGGCAUUAAUAUUUUGCUUUGUAUUCCAAUUACCCCCCAAGACUCUGGUUUGGUGGGCCUACUGAGAAGAAAGGAAAUGUUUUGUGAAAUUCUUUAUUUUUGGAUAGGAAUGGUGUGUGGAAGAAAACUCUCCCCUAUCCCGCGUUCCCAGCCCGUGUGGACCCUUUUUCCGCUUAAUCUGUUACAAACGGUUCAAGAACACGAUAAUAAUGACAAAUUGCAAUAUACUAUAUAUAUGUAUGAAGUUGUAAUCUACCGAUCCACAGCUACGCUCUUUUUUGGAGGGUACCAAUCUUCGUCCGCAAGAAAUUUCUUCGAAAAGUGCCGAUCUCGUAUAACGCGUUGGACGCAAGGUGAUCAAUGAUAGCCUCUCUAUAUUGUGUGUACGCGCUUGUGAUUUUCGAAUAUUGUCGGUAGUUGUGUUCUUCUGAUCAAUUAGGGCUUCUUUACCACUUGUAAGUGGCCGAUUUGUUUUCUGAUUCAAGAUGUCCGAAUAAUGAGCUUUACAGGUUUUGAUGCGAUUUUGAUGCGUGAAAAUAGGUUGGAAAUUGUGGUUUAUUAAGAACCUGUUUGAAUGGAUGGCGUAGAUCUUAAAUGUCUUAUAUCGAAAUUGUUAUUGUGCUGUCGAAAUUUAUUGUUGUUUGCAGGGGAAUGAAUUUAUGUUGCUUAGGUUGAUUUCAUGAAAGAAUUUGUGUGAUGACCUUGUUUCCUUUCGUUGAAGAAUUUCGCCUCAUAUUUUUUUUUAGUUUCUAUGGGUGUGGAUUUAUGGAUGAGGAAAAGAAAAUCGAGGAUAGACACCAAGGCGGUUCUGCGGCGGACAAAGUUGCUGCAGUCAGUCACCAAUCGGGGAUGUGCUAGCUGCACCACAAAAAGAGUAAGAACGGCCACCAGAGUUGUUUUCGGGAGAAACGUGCUCUCCGUACGGUUUUAAGGUUAGAUGACCGGGAGAGGAGAAUGUUAGAGAGUGUGAAUAUAUUUCACCAGAUGAAUUUGCGUACCUCUGAAGAAAGAAAAGGUGGACUCUAUAUGACACAGCUCGGCGCUGAGCACCCGUGUGCCUUGAGCACCAACUGUUUUGUCACUGAAACGGGGCUGGUCUCGAUGCGUGCUCGUACACUCGAUUUGUUGUAUUAGUGGAAUAGGUGGCUGACCCAGCAAGGCUUAAAGGCCUGGCUGGUAACCUGUCAUCGAACGGCCGAUGUCUCCAUCCGAGUGUGGGGGCUGUCAGAAGAAGUUUCGCCGUGCAAGUUACCUUCUAUCCCCUGGACUGACCACGCCUUAGGAAUCGCCUGUCGUCCGUUGCCCCGUCCAAAUUACGACGAGGCUACUCCACAGAGCUUGCCUAAAUAGGACGCCAGCUCGGGAGCAAUAAUGGCCUCUAGCUCGGACGGUACUUGUGUUCAGUGUGUCUCGACGAGAGCUCAAGCGUAGGGGUCAUCGAAACUUGCUUCGUAGCAAUAGCUCGGUGGCGGUGCCAGCCCUGUAUGGCCAUAAUUCCAUAGUUGUAUAUUUUAUUCCCUUCAAUUGUCUCUUUUCCCCAAUUUGCAUGAGCUGGGUCAAUGUUUGCCGAGGUGUGUGAACUGGACGCAUUCCUCUUCCGAGUUCGGAGCGUGCUGAGAACGUUGAUAACUUUGCUAUCUGUUUUCCUCCUAUCUAGUCUUAUCAUUUUCAUUGUCCUAUUUGACCAUGUGGCCUAGGUCUACUUAGGUUCGUUGUGCUUGUUUGUUGCACUGGUGGCCGCGGUCUUUACUUGCUCCUUGGCUCUUUUGGUAGGACGUGGCUGGGUGACUACCACGUUCUUUUCUCACUGGUUCUAGAGUAGUUGCCCGCGUGUGAAUCCCGUGCCCGACUAAGAUACAUUUUGGGCUUUCCUCCCGCCUCUUCUCCUUCGCAUAUAGUGAUUUGUUCGUCUUCCUCCCUUCUUCACUGUUCAUGAAUCCUGAGAGCGUUUUGGGAUAGAGAAAGUGCUUCCUCUCCUCUGUUUGGCCGGUCGAUUUGUUUCGUCCGACCACGUCCAUUCUCGCAACUGAUCUUCGACUGGUCUCCAGUCACCUUCUGAUUUUCCGCUUUGCUUCGGUACGCUUUUUGUUUUCAUUCUGCAAUUCCUAUGGCAGUUUUUGUGUAUUUCUUCUGCUUUGGUAUGCUUUGGUUUGCCUUGCGUUUGCCUAUCUUUGGGCUUUUGUACUGAGUUGACGAACUUAGAUUGCCACCAUUGUUGGGGCUCUGAAUUUUUGAAUUUCUGCAAACUAGGUCACCCUCGACCUGUUUCCCAUAAUGAGAUGGGGGCUGGGCUGCCUUGUAAAAUAUUGGUCUCAGGGUUUUGUCCCUAAGCUCUUAUGUUUGGUCCACGGUAGAUUCGAGGCCGUAUGAUCUUACUAUCCGUCUAAGAAUUAAUGAGUAGUUUGUAGUGGGUAGCUCGGUGUUCUUGGCGGCUCGUUUGACUCCGCUUCCAAAAAGCUCGUUAUCCCCCGCAACUCUAGCUGAGCUCCGUUUUAAACUGACUUGCCUCUUGUUUUUAGAACAUGGAGUUAGAAACAGAGCUUAGUUUGCUGUUCAUAACGACGUCGACUUCGCAUAGUUUAAAUACCACAACAUUCCCGAGGGUGUUCAAUAGAGCCAAGGUUCUCAAAAUCGCUAGGCCGUUAUCGGCAGCCGGGGGGGCCUAGCGCCCUAGCGCCUGGCGGUUUUUUUAUUAUUAGUAUUAUUUAUUUAUUUCGGAUUCAUUAAUAUUUACUAAAAUAAGAUAAAUGACCAAUUCAAUUUUAACCAAAAAAUGAUAUCAAAUAGUAAAUUCAAAUUUUAAUGUUGAAUAAUACAAAGAGGAGAUAGAAAGGCAAUUUUCGGUCUUCAAAUAAUAUAAAUUAUAAACUAGAUCUCUAAAAAGUGCUAGGCGUUAAGCUAGCGGGCGGGCGAGGGCCAAGGGCCCUAGCGGGCCUAAGCGUCCUGGGCGGCCGAGAGUGCCUAGCGCCUAGGCGGAGGAUUUUAGAACAGAGGAUAGAGCACCCAUGACAACACGGAAUCCACCUCAUUGAGGGCGGCCAAGAACUGCAUACUGGUUCGUACUUUGCUGAUUCACUGCCGUGCUUAGGUUCUCAAUCAUCCCCAUGCUGAAAGAGGUGAUGGCGCGUUGCGCCUCCCUUCAUGCAGGUGUCUGUCAAUUUUUGUCUGAACCGUGUGCUGUGACAUUUUGAUCUGUGCUUUUCGGCCAACUGGGUUUGCAGGGUAUUUGAUGGUUAUUGUCCGUCGUCUCUCCUCAAGGGAGGAACCUGACCCGCGUUUCUCCGAUAUGUGGCCUGACUUGUCCUCUGGGCAAUCAUCCAUAUUUGGCCCUCUGCUCCUAGAGUUUUUUGGGUGCAUCAGGUAUCUCCUUAGUAGUUUCUCGAGGCCGGAACGGUUUGCUGCUUUGUGAACGCCCUCGACUAGUUUUGCAAAUGGUCUAUAAUCGAUUUUCCACAGAAGGCGCCAAUGUGGGGGUGAAUUAUAUUAAGAUAAAUCAAGAAAUUGAGAACUAGACACUUGCAGUGGUUUUUGGCGUAGAGUCAAAGUUCUUGCAUUCAGUCACCAUCGUGAUGUGCUAGCUGCACACAAAAAUAGUGAGAAUGGCCGUAGAGCCUGUUUUCGGGAAACGGAUCUCCAACGAUAAGUUAGAUGACCAGAGAAUGUUGAGAGAGUGUUGUGUAUAUGUUUUACCAGAGUGAAUUCGCAUCCCUUUGAAGAAAGAAAGGCGGGUUCUAUAUGGCAUAGCUCGACGCGUGCCUUAACGCACCCGUGGGCUGUCACUGGAUGGCUAUGGUCGGUGCAUGCUGUACAAUGCCGACCGCCUAGUAAUGGUAGGCAGCUGACUUGCCAGCUCCUAAGGCCUGGUUGGUAGCUAUCCAUCGAACAUGCCUACGUCUCCAUCCGGGUGUGGGGGACUGUUAGAAAAUGUUUUCGCACUGUGCAAGUUACCUUCUGUCCCCUGACACGCCUUCGCGAUGAUGGCAUGUCCGUUGCCCUCCGUCCAAACUCCGGCGCGGCUACGCCAUCGCCAGCUUACUAAAUAGCGCCAGCUCGGGGAGAGCGAUUAUGCGCAUUUGCUCGACAGUGCUGUGUUCCGUGGUUUGUUCGACCGAGCUCGGCGCAGGGCCACCGAGUUUGCUUCGUAGCGAUAGCUCGGUGCCGGGUGGCGGUUGCCCACCCUGUAAGGCCAGAAUCCAUAGUUAUAUUUUAUCCCCUUACAGUUUCUUUCUCUUUUCAUAGCCGUUUUGUUAGGAUCCUAUUUUCAUCCUAUUUUAACUAAUUUGUUCUAUGAGGUUGUGUGUUUUAUUUCUAAGAUCUGAUUGAAUUUCGGAAAAAUUUGUGAUUCAAGUGGAGAACCGUGGAAGAGCUAGAGUUAAUAACUUAAUCCUCAUUGGUUACAAAUAGAAAGGAUAGCUCGAGUCUGAUACCUUCUUAUUUGUUAAAGGAUUGAAAAAAUACCCACUCCUCCAUCACAAUUUAUUUGUCAUAGUAAAAGUUAAAGUUAAAAUGGGAAGUCACAAUAUUUUAGUUGUUUACUUUCAAAUCAAAGAUGACAAACAUUUUGAGACAUCCAAAACGGAAAAAGUAGACAGACAAAUGAGAUGGCGGGAGUACGGCAAUUAUAAUCUUUCAUAUUGCUUCUGUCAAAUUAGAG
rnacentral:lncRNA from 1 species